CGCCCUCCCCCCGGCCGCUUUCCCGCCCUCUCCGCGGUCCUCCCCGCCUUUCGCAUCUCAGCGCGGACGCCCCACGCGGUGACAGCCCCAGGCCUGACGCCCGAACGCAUCUGCAGGCAGGCCCGCCCCUUGCAACAUCCGUCCCUCGACACGCCCCUACCAGGAACCGCAGUGCUCCCCCGGCUCUGGUCCUGCCCGCGCCCCUCUCCCGCGCCUCCCUGCCUUGCUUCUUCGCGCCUGUCGCCGAGCGGCUUCCGUGUCUCCAAACCGGGAAAUUUAAAAAGAGAAAAAGACAGAAAAGCCAGGUCACCUCAUUGCGCUACCCGCCAAUCAGGAGGCUGGAUGUCAGUUUGGCAAGAAAUGGCCGCUACGCCUCACUUCUAGAUUCGGAAUACGAGCGAAAUUAAAGACAACCGCUGCACGCAGCCCACGCGACCUGUGGACACUGCGCGGCGCUGGCGCCACUGGAGCUCCAGCCGCGCGGACCAGUUUCCCUUAGGUACCUUCUGACUCAUGGCAGUCCCAUGUGUGCAGAGUAAAGCUGCGCCACGGCAAUCUUUCAGAAGCAGAUCGCCAGGCCUGUUUGCUCUGGCGUUUCUGGGUUAUUUGAACCACCAACCUUUCUGCAAGUAGUUCAGGGCUUAACCGUUGGCGCCGUCCAGGGACUCGUAAGUAUCUGCCUGAAUGUUGGCAAAUGAACUUCACCGAUAGGAUUGACUUGCUCAGAAUUUACCGAGCACAGUACCCGUCACUGUUACUUGUCAUCUCCUCUGCCUGGAAAGAAUGGUUUUUCUCGCUCUUCACAAGGUUGGCUCCUUCUUUCUUAAGAAUCCCCGUUCAGAGAAACUUCCCCUCUCUGGCUCCAUAUCACCGUGUUUAUUUUCUCUGUAGUAUUUUUAGCAGUUCAGAAAUUACAACACUUAGCAGUACAGAAAUUAUUUUGCUUUUGUAUUUGUUUAUGUGUUGCCUGAUUGUCCUUCACGGUAGGGUGUAAGCUCCAUGGGAGCAGGAUUCUGCUCUGGCUUACUCUGCACCCAUGACGCCUUCCCCGACCUCAUAGGACGGAUGGUCCGGUAAAAACACACAAUUAUAAUUAGGACAUUUGGCUUUAUGGAUCACAGAGGAAGGACACUUUGGGGAAGUGGGCAGUCCAGAGAAAGCAUGCUAGAGGGCAAAUGCUGCUUGAUGCCAGGAUAAUAUCAUUUAAGGAAGAGUGACGAUUUGCCUGGACCCAGGCAAGGUGAUUAUCUGUGACCAGAAACCAUGGUGUGUGUGAGAGGGGGAGGCCUCUAUUACAGUCUCUUGAAAUUGUCUCAUCAUGCCUGCGGGGUCUGCUGACCCUCAGUUUCCCAGCCAAGUUUAAAUUCAGGGAUCUUUGUAUAUUGAUUAAACCUGUAUAGUUUAACCUAUAACCAUUUCAUUUCUACGCAAACUUGGGAGUAGGAAGACUUUACACUUCAGAGGAAUGCCAUUUGAAUGACAGCAUGCAUAUACAGCAAGCUUUCUGUUUUUUGGAUGUAAAUUUUAAAAUUUAAACCUUUAAAUUCCAUCUUGGUUUUCCCCUGCUGCCCAACACCUGUUCUCUGUCAGCUGUGGUAUGCAGGGGAAUUCUAUCUAAUUUUAAUAUUAGCGGAAGCAAAAUACAAUUAGGAAGAUGAAUCUCUAGCAAAAAACUAGUAUGUGCUGUUCCAAAGAAAAAGAUGUUUGGCUGUAUGUUCUUCAAAAAAUUUGUGAUCAAAAAUUGAGUGGAACUAUGUGUACACGCUUUCACUUGUAUUACUUAUUGUAUCCUCACAGUGGCCCUUUAAAUUUGAGAUUCUUACCCCUAUUUUACAGGUAAGAAAAUUGAGGCCCAUCACCACCAGCUGCCAUCAGUUCUGACUCACAGCGACCCCAUGUGUGUCAGAGUAGAACUGUGCUCCACAGAGUUUUUGAUGGCUGAUAUUUUGGAAUUAAGUUGCCAGACCUUUCUUCUGAGGAGUCUUGGGUAGACUUGAACUUCCAACAUUUUGGUUAUCAGCUGAGCUUAUUAACAGUUUAAACCACAGAGAAACUCUAGAUGAGGCCUAAACCAAAACCUGUUGCCAUUGAGUUGAUCCUGACUCAUAGCGACCCUAUAGGACAGAGUAGAACUGCCCCAUAGAGUUUCCAGGGAGUGGCUGGUGGAUUUGAACUGCCAGCCUUUUGGUUAGCAGCUGAACACUUAAUCAAUGUGCCACCAGGGCUCCAGUUGAGGCCUACAGGGCUCCAAAUUUUGAUUACUUCAUGGCAGCAAGUGCCAGGGCUGGAAUCAUCAAGAAGGUCUUUGGACUAUAAGUCCUGUGCUCUUUCUGUUGUAUCCCAAAGGGCAGAGUCAAUAGGGAGUGUGCUAGCUGCGGUCACUUGUGCAUCGACAUGAUCACCAAAUGCUGGAGCUUCUCUUUGCCCUCUUCCAUUGGCCUAAAUAACUGACAGUUAAUUCUCUGAGUUUUUGAAUGGAGGAAAAUUAUUUUCUGAUUUGGAUUAGCAAAUUCAUCCUCCAGGACGAGAUAGAACAUCUUACUGAAUAGCUUUCAUCUUGUGCUUCCCUCCCUAACCACCACCACAUGGUGACCCAGGACACUAGCUUUAUCCCUCAGAUAACUCUUGAUUAUCAAAAUUCCAUCAGAAGCUUUCCUAACAUUGCAUAUGUCACACUCAAAACCCCAAAGGCAUAAAACAAGAGCCACCAUAAACAAGAUUAAAACCAAAAUAAUUAUUCAUACAUAUAUGACAAUAUAUUAAUUUCUAAAAUAUGUAAGUAACCAGGUAACUCAAUAAAAAGAUAGAGAAUGUAAAGAAUGUAACAGGCAGUUUAUAGUGGAGAGUAUACAAAUGAACAGAUUGUCAAAACUUACAUGAAAAGCACAAUCUCACUGCUUAGUGAAGAGACAUAAACAGGAACAAUGGCAUAUACCUAUAAGUGUUGCAAAAAUAAAAAGAAGUGAUAAUAGUGGCAGAGUUGUCAGGAAACACCCUUAUACACUAUACACUAUUGUACUUGGUGCAGUUGUUUGGGAAGACAGCUUUACAGUAUCUAUCAAAACUAUAUGUGAUAUAUGUACCCUUUGACACAGCAAUUCCACUGUUUUAACUCAUGUAAGUAUGUAAAGAUAUACACACAAAUAUAUGAAUAUAUGUAUGGAAAUACAUAUACUAUAGAUUUCUUUCCAUAAAUACAGUAUACAUAUGUUUGGAAAGAAAUAUAUAUGUAUGGAAAGAUAGAGAUAUAAACAUAUAGAUACAUAUAGACUUGACAGCACCUAACAGCAACAACAACCCUUUGACUCAGUAAUUCCACUCUUGUAACUCACAUAAGUUUGGGAAGUAUAUAUAAGUAUAUACACGCAAACACAUUAGUAUUGAAAGAUAUAUACACAUACACAUAAGUGUGGAAAGAUCAUAUAUAUACACACACACACAGAGAAGAUAGAAAUGUACUCUGGCUCAGCAACUCCUUCUAUAAAUUGCUACAGAUGACUCAUUGAAGUAUGCAAAAAAGAUUCUUUAUAGCAUUGUGACUAGUGACAAAAAAAAAGCACACAAAGAAAGGAAACAAUUUACUUGUUUGUCAAUAGGAUACUGAUUUAAAAACUUAGGGUCCAUCCAUAAAGUACAAAGCUGUGCAGCCAUAAAACAAUGAAGUCCAUAAAACAAUGAAGUGCACCUAUAUGCACUGAUAAAGGAAAUUGUCAAGGAUCUAUUACUAAUUGAAGAAAGCAAGUUGCAAGAUAGUAUGAUACCAUUUGUGCUUUUCAAAUGUAUGUGUUGGGGAGGGUUGUUUACAAUUAUUUGUACCUAUAUAUUUCUGGAAGGAUAAUUUAAAACAUUUUAAUAGUUUUUCCCCCUGGGUAGUGAGAAUGGGGGAAUGGGGAGAUUUUGGGAAGCUUUUACUUAGUACUUUUUGCCUUCUGUAUUGCCUGAAAGUUUACUCUGAGCAAAAAUUAUUAAAGUAACAAUCAUAGAAAUUCAGAACCCCAAAUCUAGAGAUUCUAAUUCUGUAGAUCUGGAGUUAGUCAGUAAAUCUGAAUUUUAAAACAUCUCCUUGGGUAAUUCUGAUACGGAGCCGAGGUUGGCAACCAGUCCCUGUAUGUUAGCCUCAAGUGACUGCCGAGGCCAACACCAUCGUUUGGAUACAACAAUUACUUGGGGGCAAAUGUAAAAUGAAAUGUCAUUUAAUUUUUACUUAAAAAGAGGAUGACAUUAAACUCUUCUGUUUAUGAUGGGAUUUAUGACAGCACUGUGACAUCCUGGAGUAGGCCCAUUUGUGAUAACUCUUAAGUAUCAAAGGCAACCCAGAGAUUAGAGAGUAGUAGAGGAUGAAAAACUAUUUCAGGCAAGAUAUUUUAUCUUUCUAGGUAGCAUGUUAGCUAGGGACACAGGGGAUGGAGACAGGCACUGCUGUGUCCUAGGAAAAGUGGUAGAGCAUAGGGACUCACAGGUGGAGGGAGGAGCUAUUCAGCACACAUCUUUCCAACACUCACCCUUCAGAAGAAAACUGCAUGUGUUGAUAAUAAUCUGCUGACUUGUCUGAUUAAGUAAAUGGAAUAAAUUGUUUACUGUUUUAUUUCAUACCAUAUAAUAUACCAUAUCAUAUAAUAAGCAUAUUAUUAUAUGGUAUUAUACCAUAUAAAAAAAUUUUUUUUAUACCAUACCAUAUAAUAAACGUGUUAUAAAAUAUGUAACAACAUAGUGAAAAAAUUUUUCGACAGAUCCAGGAUUUAUUUUUUAUAAUUUAUUUCUUGUUGAGAAUAUACACAGCAAAACAUACACCAAUUCAACAGUUUCUACAUGUACAAUUCGGUGACACUGAUUACAUUCUUUAAGUUGUGCAACUAUUUUCACCCUCCUUUUCUGAGUUGUUCCUUCCCCAUUAACAUAAACUCACUGCUCCCUAAAGUUCCUACCUAAUCUUUCAAGUUGCUUUUGUCAGUGUGAUUCCCUCUAGAUAGAUCUUAAAAGAGCAUAAUGCUCAAGACAGAUAUUCUUUACUAGUUAAGCUAAACUAUUAUUUGGUUUUAAGAAGACUUCAGGGAAUAUUUUUGGUUUAAGGUUUAAAGAUUAUCUCAGGGCAGUAGUUUCAGGGGUUUAUUCAGCCACCAUGGCUCCAGAAAAAUCUGGAUUCCAUGAGAAUUUGAAAUUCUUUCCUGUAUUUUCUCCCUAUAGACAGGAUUAUUCUAUAGAAUCUUUGAUCAAAAUGUUCAGUAGUGGUAGCCGGGCACCAUCCAGUUCUGGUCUCAUGGCAGAGGAGGCAGUUGUUAUUGGAGGCAGUUAGCCACACAUCCAUUUCCUGCUCUUAUUCCUGACUCUCCUUCUUCCUCUGUUACUCCAGGCAUUACUGUAUUUUGGAUGGCUGCUUACAAGCAGGUGGAACAGAAGCACUAGGCCAAUUAACUGCAAACCAAGGAACCAAAUCACAUAAGGUGUUUGGUUGUACAUGAGCAGCCUUAGCUGCUACUCUUUUUUUUUUUGUUGUUGUUAUUGUAAAUAUAUCUGUCUUAGUUAUCUAGCGCUGCUAUAACAGAGAUACCACAAAUGGAUGACUUUAACAAAGAAACUUAUUCUCUCACAGUCUAGGAAGCUAGAAGUCUGAAUUCAGGGUGCCAGCUCCAGGGGAAGGCUUUCUCUCUCUGUUGGCUCUGGAGGAAGGUCCUUGUCAUCAAUCUUCCCCUGCUCUAGGAGCUUCUCAGCACAGGGACCCGGAGUUCAAAGGCACCCUCUCCUGGCUCUACCUUCUCAGUGGUAUGAGGUCUCCAUGUCUCUCUGCUCACUUCUCUCUUUUAUAUCUCAAAAGAGAUUGACUUAAGACACAUCCCAAUCUUACAGAUUGAGUCCUGUCUCAUUAACAGAGCUAUCUCUAAUCCUGCUUUAUUAGCAUCAUAGAGGUAGGAUUUAUAACACAUAGGAAAAUCACAACAAAUGACAAAAUGGUGGACAAUCACACAAUACUAGAAAUCAUGAUCUAGGCAAGUUGACACACAUAUUUUGGGGACACAAUUCAAUCCAUAACAAUAUCUACCAUACAACUUUUGCCAGUUCAACUUUUUAUAGGUGUACAACUUACUGACAGCAAUUACAUAGUAAUAGGUUGUGCAAUCCAACCCUUAAUGUGAUUUUUCCAUCACCAUAAAUGAAACAGAGUACUCCACAUAAUGAAAUUAUUUACAGCUUAAUCUGAUAAAUAAAACAAAAUGUGAGUAUAUGAAUUACUUAUGCUAAGAUAGAAACCAGAAAAAUAUCAUUACAUAUUGAUACUCUACCCAUAAUCUUACAUAUUUGGUUUGGAACUACAUUGAAAACUAUCUGAACACCAGACGCUGGUUCCUGGGCCCGACUCCUCCUCUGUUAUUCACUGCUCAGUACCUAGCUUCUGGUGCACAGAAAGUGGAGUUCUCAGAGAGACCCAGUUUUCAGAUAAGGCAAGGGAAUAGAUUUGUGAAGGACUGGAAGGUAGAGGAGAAUUUGUUUAAAAUGGAAUGGAAACAAGGUUUCAAAGGAAGUAGUUCCAACCACAUCAUAAUAGGGAGUAUUUGAAUUUGAGGAUACAUGAAUAGAAGAUUCUGCAUUUUGGAAGGGGGCCAGAUAUGAAAGGGAAAUGAGGCACGGUUUAAUACUGUAAUUGGUCUUAAAGUGUAAAAUAUUUUCUCUGCCAGCAUUGACUUUAUAUAUCUAGGGGAGGUCUAAUGGCAGGGGCUUCUGAAUGGCAAGGGGAUUAUUAGGUGUUUGGAGUUCCUUUAUAAAUUUCUGGCAUCAUGACCACCUGUGAGGUAGUCAGCAUGUCAUUUAAUACAGUCUCAUAGCUCUUUUGUCAGCCAAGUCUUAGCUUUAUACUUAUUUCAAACUUCAAAUUAGUAAUUCAAUGUUGGCUGCUAAUUUUUGACACACAAGUUGAUUUAUAUUACUGUGCUUAAUAUAUAACCCAUGCCAGUCAAGUAUUAUUUCAUUAGCAGCAUUUGUUUCAAAGGAAAUUUUCCUUUAUUGUGUAAUUAGUAGGGACAGUAUGGAAAAGUUACUGAAUUUUUGUAAAAUGAAGUAUUUUUUCCUUAUGCACAGUAAUAUUAAAAUCUUCUGAGUAGGAGAUUCAAGAGGCAAGAAAGCAGUGAUCCCAUUGUGAUAACUGAACUUGAUAAACAUAUCAAGAUAGUAGAAAAUGAACACAUUCCCAAGAUAUUAGGCCUGGAAGUAUUUCACAAAUCCCACCAGCAUGUAGAUCAGAUAUAAUUUAUGUUGGUUUGAUUUGAUUCUGUUGAACUAUUGACCUGUCUCCCACAGAACACCACCACGCUGCUCCUCCUUCCUUUGUUGCUUUCUUUUCAUCUCAUUCUCUGUCCUCGUGAAAUGGCUGACAAGCACAUAUUUAGAUGAUACAGACCUCUCGCCUAACUAACUGGUUACUACAACUUCCCAGGCAAGAUUUAAGGACCUAAAGUUACAAGGAAUCUAAUGGAAACCAACUAGAAAGUACAAGAUCCUACAGAAAAAAAAUUUUUUUUUCAUAUUAAAUCUGUUCACAGAGAAUUAUUCAGUUUGUAAUGACUUCUGCAGACUUCAGCGUAUCUUGCCUUUGUACUUUCUAUUCCUUCUGACGUCCCCAACUUUCUCUCUUGGUUUUAACUCCUGCAUGAGCUCUGACAGUUAGGUCAGAAAAUCUUGUUACAUGCUCACUUAAUAACCAGUCUUUUUUUUUUCUUUCUUUCAGAGCACUUAUAUUAGUUUUAAAAUACCUACUUUAGCAGUAUUUUCUAAAUUUACUGAACUUACUUGCUUAGCUCACUUAAAAUUAUUCUAGUGGUUCCUGAGUGACAUGAGAAAAAUGCAUAAAAGUCAGAAAAAAUCAAAGGUAAGAUAAAAUGAGAAAGACCUUAAAAAUUAAAUUGUUUCUUUGACACAGGCAAAUUUUCUGCCCUAAUUUUUAAUUCCCUCAAAUUUGUCUCUGAGUCUUCACUUAACUGGUGGAGGUGGUGCUUAUAAAGAUUUUUUCCCUCUAGGGCUUCAGAUUUCUAAAAUACAUUUCUUCUCUCCUCUCCAUUUCUUUAUGUAGCAUUCCUUGACUCAUACCACGGGCAAAAUUAUUACCAAUAAAAAUAUAAGACCCCUCGCAGAUGCGUAUGGAACAAAAUCAUAAAGGUAUAUAUAAUACUUUGGCGAUGGAAGGGAAUUUGGAAAUAAUCUAGUUCAACCCCCAUCUUUGAGGAAAAUUGAGGCUAAUUGAAGUAGGUGGUCAUAUAUUGAAUUAGCAGAAGAAUGAAUAUGGGAACCCAGAUCUUCUAUCUUCCAGUCAGGUUCUACUGUCUCUUUGCUCCAUUUUGUCUUUCUUCCCUAGGAUUAUAAACAGAGCAGGAGACUGUAUUGAAAAUACUGAGAUUCAAUGGUUGUUCCUUCAAGUAUUUAAAUUUUUUCUAAUUUUCUCAUAUAUGUGAGAAACAUAUUUAUAUUUGUAACUUAGAAAUUGGACACUGUGAAAUACACCAACCUAAGAAUUAUUCUUUAAGUUUUCACCAAAUAAGUUGUUAGUUUCUUCAAUAAUGAAAACCUAGUAAGCAUUUCAGAAUUUGGUUAUGAUUAGCUGCUGACAUAAACAUGAAAGUCAACCUCACUGUAUUUUAGACAGCCUUGGUUUUUGCAUUUGUCUCAGAGGGCAGCCCACAAGAGUACUUCCUAGAUGAUUUCUGUUAUUUUUGAAGUUCACUAAUUCUACUUGCUUUUCUUUUGGUUGAGUGGCAAUGUCUUAAAUACUGUAAAAAUUAUAUUUUAUCAUAAAAAUAAUCAGUGUCUGUAAACCAUAAAAGGAAAAUGAGUGUAGCUUUUUAAAAAAAUAAUUGAGGGGCAGCUAGAAAGCGGGUGGUGGUGAAAAAAUCUCUGUUGAAUAUUACAUAUUAACUUACAUUGUUUUCUGGUAUUUUGCCACAAAGGAAAGGCAGUAUAGAAUCUCAACGUAAGUACAAGUGAAAUUAGUUGUAUUUGUUUGCUGAAAGUUAGUUACCUAGCUUCAUAAGAUGAAUUAUUUGUUUCUGGACACCAUAGGACAGCAUGUUGUGUUUGCUUUAGUAUGCAAAUAAAUCAUUUCUAUGUACACACUUUCCCAAAGCUGUUUGGAGUUUUGUAAAUCUUGAGUUUUCCUUUUGAAUGUUUUAUUCCUUAUUAUUAUUAUUAUUUUUGAAACUGCUAAUUUUAGCCAUUACAGCACAGGACAUUUUAAAUGGAUUUUGCUUUUAAAGUAAAUCAUAGUUUUUUUUUUUUUUAAUCUGUCCAGUCAGCUGAAAAAAGGAAAGGUAAAAAUGAGGCCGAGUGAACAGAAUAUUGAAUUCCUGAAUUUACUUUCAGAUCUUGGAAUGAAGGUCAGGUGGUAGAAUUUUUACAAACCUUGGUAAUGUUUCAAACUUAGGUAUAAAAAUUAACAUGCAUAUUCAAUUUUCUGCAAUUUCACAAUGGAACCAAAAGCAGGGCUCAUGUAUAUAGUAGGCAUAUAUAUUUUGCAUGUGUCCUUUAAAAUGAAAUCCUUAAAUUUACACCUCUUUGUGCUGUUGAUAAAACAUACCAGCCAAACCUAUCUUCCAGGUGGCUUUGAAAACUGUAUUAACUUUUACAUGGCAUUAAUAAAUCACUGUUUCAGGACCACCAGGUGGUAACUGAUUUCCAAUAAUGUUUUGGUUUUGCUUUAUUAAAAAAAUCAUAAAAAUUAUAAUAUGGUACUUUGGGAUCCACAACCAUACCUUAUUCCCCUUAAUUCCCUGUUGUCAUUAGGAAAGAUACCACAAUUUCUUUAAAUUAGGAAUGAAAUCACAUGUUUCAUAUGUCUCAAGUGAUUAUCAUUCUUCAUUACCCAGUCUCACGCACAUAGCAUAAUUGAACAACUGGAACUAAAGAAGUAGAGCACAAAAUCAUCAGGGAUUUUAUAAAUUAAAUGGACUUGAAAUCGUCAGCUGACUAAUUUUAUGCAGAAUGUUUCUUAGUAAUUGUAAAACAAUAUAAACCUAAAAAUUGCUGUUCUUGUAGCCGAUAAUUCAAUGCUUAAGUGGUAACAGAAAUUGUAUUUUCUGCCCUUGUGUCUUAAUUUAGAAAUGGGGGUUUCAUUAUCUUUGUUCCAAAUGCAUUUUUUUUAGGUGUUUCUUUUGGGGGCUGUUUUUCAUAUUGUUGACAGUUUAAAAUAAAUUUGAAACAAUACGCUUAUAUUUAUGAUACUGUACUAGAUGUUAUAGAAAGAAAAGAAAACCCUCAGGAAUUUAUAAGGGAGAACCAUUUUUGUUUCUGCUCUUUAAAAAUAAAUUAGUUGAAAAAAAAUUUUUUUUCAACUUCAUAUAUAUCAUUAAUAAUUUUGGACAACAGGUUAAUGCUGGCGGGGGGAGGGGGAUAACAUAUCUCUGGAGCCAGACACACUGACUUUGUGCAACCGUGGACUCUUGUGACUUCUUGGCCUCAUUAUCCUCAUCUGGGAAACAAUACCUAUCUCUCACAUUUGUUUUAAGUGUUAAGUAAACACAUAUAAAGUAUCCGUGGCACAAGUUGUUUGUCAAUGUUUAUUUGUUUUCCCAAUUAGAUAUGCUCAGAUUCCUAACUAAGCUUCCCCAGUAAUAUAUUACUUUUGGGGAUAAAGAAUUGAUGGAGAAGUAAAGAUGUGUAUAUUUAGCUCAGAUACACAAAUAAGUCUUAUAAGUCUCUACUCUAAAAUAAUUUCUUUGGUCUGUUUCCUCUCUUUCCAAUUUAUAUAUGGUAAACUGGAUACUUAAAAAAGCACAAUGUAUGUACCUAUCUCAUAAUAUAUAAUAACUCUCUAUGGCUUAUAGAAGCAGUUCUUAUAAACUGUUGUUGGCAUCACUUAACAAUUAUUACAGAGAAUGAGAGAAGUGAACCCCUUUGAGUCUUCAACAUUUCUCAGUAGUGGUAAAUCCAUGAACAUUUUAAACCAAAAUUUGAAUCUGCAUCUUGGAGUUCAAUUUCUGUUGUUUAGUCUUCAUUAAAGCCGUGAAAUCUCUGUUGUUCCAAUACAUAAUGAGUCCAACAAUACAGGAUAUUAAACCUCAAAGCAGUGCACCUUUAGUUGUUCAGCAGAUAUAAAGAAAAAAUUCCAGAAGCCAUCACGAUAUAUUUCAGCGGUUUUAUACUCAAUUUCUUUCAGCAACCCUUUGGGAAAUAUCUCCAGAUAUUUUACUGGAUAAGUGCGCUGAUUUUCUGAAAGACAUUUGGAAUAUUUAAUAGUUUGGCCCUUGAGACACCUGGGUAGAGGAAACGGUCAGAGAAUUUAACAGAAGAAAUAGGUUAAAAGUGAAAGUAAUGGAGGCGUUCGACCCUAAGUUUGCCACUGUGCCUUGCCUUUGCUUCUUUUAAGAGCUGUAGUUCUUUUUCACCGCGUUACUAAGGGCUACUUUGUUAUUUCAGGUCUCCCCAUUAAAUAAAACUGUCACUGAAGAAAAACUCAGAAGUACAAAAUAUUAGGAAAUCUUUCCAAGCGGCAAUUUACAGGGGGAUUUCCGUAUGUAGAUGAAGCAAACCGCUACAGUUACUCUCCUUAGCACCUCCCACUUGGUUCUGCGCACUGUGACUCCGGCGCCUCUGGAAUGCCCUGGGAAGCGCUCCAGGACGGAAUACGAGCAAGAGCCAGCACCUUUUGGAGCGUGGCUCUGCAUCAAGGUGACCCAGGGAUUUUAGAGUUUGCCGGCAAAUCCGCCAUCGCUUCCACGUCUUCUAUUUCCCCUCCACUAUUUCGUGGGGCUGGGUGCCAGUUUCCCGAGCUUCCAGAAGGCAUCAAGCUUCCAGAAGGCAUCGUUUCACCCUUGACUUACCGCACACCGCACAGCGAGUAAAGGGUUGGUUGCUCACUGCUGCCCACACGACUCUCAUAGUUGUCUGGGCCUCAGUCUUCAGAUUUUCCUUCAUAGCCCCAGGGCCUUUGGCGCGCAGCGGGGUUCAGACUGCGGUUCUUCGCUGUCUGUGGGACAAAACACCGACCACCCCACACCCAAAAGCCAGUCAUCCGCCUCCCACUCCUCCCCAGCGUCAUCUGUGUGCAGGUUCGCAGGCGCCAGGAUGGUUUGCAGACUUCUUCGCACGCCACUUUCCGCCAGGCAACUCCAAAAAGUGAACGACACCGGCGCACUCCACAUCCCACCCCUAAAUCUCUCUGGAAAUCAACCCAUGGGCCCCACCUUCCUGCAUGUGGCUUCACGGUGAGAGCCUAAGGCCGGAUCCAGCAAAAAGCACAAAUGAAUUUUAUUCCGGGCUUGCUCCUCCUUCCUCAGCGGAGUCGGCGGCUCAGGAAGGCGUGCAGGAUCUCCGCCGCUCCACGUUUGCAAUGGUCAUUGAACUAGGUGGGGUGGGAAACGGGGGAGAAAAGUCGUGGGCGGCUGGAUGCGCCCGCCAUCAGUCCCCCGCGGCCGCACGCAGGUACAGGGCGACGUCGCGGUGACCCCGCUCCUCAGCCAGGUCCACGGGCAGGCGGCCCCAGGCGUCGCGCACGUCCAGCCGCGCCCCGGCGCGUUGCAGCACCAUCAGCGUGUCCAGGAAGCCCUCCCGCGCGGCGUCGUGCACCGGUCGGGUGAGGGUGGCGGGGUCUGCGCAGUUGGGCUCAGCGCCGUGGAGCAGCAGCAGCUCCGCCACACGGGCGCUGCCCAUCAUCAUGACCUGCGGGGAGAGCAGAGCGGUCAGGGCGACAGGAGGGUCACCGAUUUGCAGGCUUGGGAGCGAGAUCCCCGGCGGCGUGGAUGAGGCUAGUUUAAAGAAAUACAUAUUUAUGAAGUAGUCACCCAAUAUAGAGGAGGUUUUUUUUUUUUUUUACGAGCUUCAGGUGUCUGGAUACUCUUAAAUUGCAAUUACCCCCUCUCCCGCCAGUCAUACUCAUUUCUUCGCUCAAAUUGAAUUCCGUGUUAUCCAACCGUGCGGAGACAAGAGCGAGCUGAUGACAAAGUGUUUAUCGUUGUUGUGUGUGUGUGUGUGUGGGGGGGGAAACAACUUGAUUUCCACUGGAACAAGGAAAUCUAUUUUGUUAUACAAUUUAGGGAUGGAGUUGUUUAACUGGCUUUUAAAGUCUAGUUAUUUCCCUUGCUCUCCUCCUUUCCCAUAAUGCAGGGCUAAAAAUAUUUGUUAGGCAGUCAACUGAUAUUUUUCAGAAGCUGGGGUAAUACUAGAAGUAAACUAAGUUUACAGAGGUUUACAUUGUUUGGUUCUUGUUGCAAAUCUGUGGAAGGCUUCUGCCUUAUUUCAUGUAUGUCUGUGCUCAUAAACGGAUUAUAUAGUCCCAUAAUUGGGGCCAAAGCUGGAGUUCGAGAGGAAACACUAAGUCAUUUAUAGUUUUACAAGACCAUGAAAAUAAAUGAUUUUUAAUAGAGUUCAACAUUUUUAAUAUUUAGUGUGUACCAUAUUUAAUAUAAUAUGUAAAGCAAACACUAUACUGUACAAUUUGGCUAGGAUUUUAUAAUGUUAAAUAGUAAAUAUUUUCUUGUAUAAAAAGCUUGAAUAUUAGCAGUCAAAUCAGAACAAAGCGUAACUUAGAAAAAAUGCUUGGAGGAGUAAUUCUGUAGCAUCCAUUUGUUCACACACAUUCAAGAACUUUUAAGUGAACUAUAAAAAUGAUUUUUGAUAAACGUCCAAAAUGAAGUUUUCUUUUUCCUUGUGGGUUUAUAGGCUUUAAAAUGUACCAUGUGAUUGAAAGACCAAACCAAGGUUUCCAAGGAGAGCCUGGCGAAUUCAAACUACCAACCUUCUGGUUAGCAGCGGUAGCUCUUAACCGCUACCCGCCAGGGUUUCUGAGUGAAAGGCAGUAUACCUCUAAUUUUGUGUUUUAUGAAUAUCAGGUGAUGUAAAGGGGGUUUUUAUAUAUAAAGAGGAAAAAUGAUUUUUAAUCUCAGAAGAUGGUGAAUUAAAACUAGAGAAAAACAAAACAUGAAGUCUUUAAAGAGCACUUUGCAAUAUUUUUGUUCCCUGUAUCCCUCACUUGUUAUACCAAUUUUCUAAGAAUUGCUAUGUAUGCAAAAGGAAUGAACACCUGUUUUCUUAAAUGUGUACAUUAUUGACCAGGUUUCUUAAUAGCUUGUUCUGGAAGGUAAUGGUGAGGUGAGUACUGAAUAUUGAGCCACAGCAGUCAACAGUAAAGCGCAAAGGGAUUAAUUUAGAUUUUAAUGGAAUUUAAAAUAAUUAAAGCUAAAAGAGCCCUGACCGCGCAGUCAUUAAGCGCUCCGUGGCUACCUGAAAGAGCAGUUCGAACACACAGCCGCUCCUCUGGACGAAGAUGCGGCAGCCUGCUCCAGUAAAGAUCACGGCCUUGGAACCCCUAUGGGGCAAUUCUCCUGCGUCCCAUAGGGUCGCUAUGAGUCAGAACCGACUCCACGGCAAUGGAUGGGCUAAUUAAAGCGAAAUUAAUGGUUUAACGUAUUGAAUAAAUGUAUUUUAAUAAUUAAGAGGCUAAUUAUUUAUGAAGACCCUUUGCCAUUGAAAAAGGACCCAACAGUUGCUGCAGAAAUGCUUUUAUAAUCCAAGAAUUCUGUAUGAUAACAAAAAAUCUAUGGGAACAUUUUUUUCCCCUCUUAUGUGACACUCAAAAGACGUUGCUAACAUAAGAAAUUAAAUACUGUGGUUGAGGAAUCUUAUCUCAUUCCUUUGCGUUCAACUUGCCUCUAUGAGGAAAGAGAAAAAUGAAAGAUUUCAUAUAGAGGCUUAAAAAUUUACAGUGCAUUUUCCCCCCCAGUGCUAUCACUUUGGAGAAGAAUUCCUUAAAUCCAACCCAGAUUGUGGAAUUUGUAAUUUAUUUAUCUUUAUCGUUGAGAGUAGACAACAGAUAAAACAGUCCUCCUCCCCAAAUAUCCCACUUCUCCCCCUCUCCUUCCCAGUUGAAUGUAUUCCAUCUCUGAUCACGAGAGGGCUCAGGAAAUAUUGUGGAUGUUUUUUCCAUCAUUGAAAAGAAAACCAAACUGAAGCACUAAGUUUUUCAAUUUCUUUCUUUAGGAUUUUUGCUGUGUAAAAACCUGCUUUCCGGCGGGGCCCCACACCUCCAGGAAAAGGCUCCUGCACACGUCUACGUCGGUUACGGUCUCGGUCUCGGUCUCAGCCCCCGACCCACGGAGGCCGCGCUCGCGCGCCCCCUGCCGGCCAGGACCCGGGGCCCCAGAAACUUUUAAAGAAGGGAACCUUCUAACGUUACGGAGAGUGUAAUAGGUCCUUGCAUGCAAAGGGGUGCUCCAUCAGUAACCAAACUUAAUAUACUGCUAAAAUGACUUUGUGUUCAGGCUACACAUAUGGAAUAACACAGUACGACUGUGAGAACGGUGCAGGACCAGGCCCUGUUUCAUUCUGUUAUACCGAUGAAUCAGAACUGACUCGAUGGCACCUCCACAACUAACAACAACAUGGGAACCAAUUGAAUAUCAGGAGGGGGGAGUGAGGGGCUGACUUAGAUGAAAACAUUUUCUCAAAGUUGAAGUGAUUCCUGGAAGCUGAGUUUCUUGAAGAAUAAGCUUUGGACCCAGAUGACCUCUUUUUCUUCUUACUCUUACCUUUUUUGCUUCUCAUGAAGCCAGGCUUUCAUUUAUUAUUGAUGACAUAUAUCAAAUAUGUGAUCAAAAGGAAGAAACGAUGAAGUAAAAGAACUGAACAGAAGAUUUCAAAGGGCAGCUUGAGAAGACAAAGUAAAGUAUUAUCGUGACAUAUGCAAAGAGCUGGAGAUAGAAAACAAAAAGGGAAUAACAUGCUCAGCAUUUCUCAAGCCAAAAGAAUUGAAGAAAAAAUUCAAGCCUCUAGUUGCAGUGGUGAAGGAUUCUAUGGGGAAGUUAUUAAAUAACACAGGAAACAUCAAAAGAAGAUGGAAGGAAUACACAGAGCCAUUAUACCAAAAAGAAUUAGUUGACAUUCAACCAUUUCAAGAGGAGGAACCGAUGGUACUGAAGGAAGAAGACCAAGCUGCACUGAAGGCAAGUUUCCAGGAAUUGACGGAAUAUCAUUUGAGAUGCUUCAACAAAUGGAUGCAGCACUGAAAGUGCUCACUUGUCUAUGCCAAGAAAUUUGGAAGACAGCUACCUGGCCAAUGGACUGGAAGAGAUCCAUAUUUACACCUAUUCCCAAGAAAGGUGAUCCAACUGAAUGUAGAAAUUAUUAAACAACAUCAUUAAUAUCACACAGAAGCAAAAUUUUGCUGAAGAUGAUUCAAAAGCACCUGCAGCAGUAUAUCGACAGGGAACUGCCGGAAAUUCAGGCCAGAUUCAGAAGAGGACGUGUAACCAGGGAUAUCAUUGCUGAUCUCAAAUGGAUCCUGGCUGAAAGCAGAGAAUACCCGAAGGAUGUUUACCUGUGUUUUAUUGACUAUGCAAAGGUGUUCGACCAUGUGAUUCAUAACAAAUUAUGGUUAACAUUGCAAAGAAUGGGAAUUCCAGAACACUUAAUUGUGCUCCUGAGGAAACUUUAUAUAGAUCAAGAGGCAGUUGUUUGGACAGAACAAGGGGAUACUGAGUGGUUUAAAGUCAGGAAAGGUAUACAUCAGGGUUGUAUCCUUUUGCCAUACCUAUUCAAUUUGUAUGAGCAGAUAAUCCAAGAAGCUGGACUAUAUGAAGAAGAAUGGGUCAUCAGGGUUGGAGUAAGACUCUCUAACAACCUGUGUUAUACAGAUGACACUUGCUGAAAGUGAAGAGAACUUGAAGCACUUACUGAUAGAUUAAAGAUCACAGCUUUCAGUAUGGAUUACAGAUCAACAUAAAGAAAACAAAAAUCCUCACAACUGGACCAAUAAGUGACACCAUGAUAAACAGAGAAAAGAUUGAAGUUGUCAAGGAUUUCAUUUUACUUGGAUCCACAACCAACAGCCAUGGAAGCAGCAGUCAAGAAAUCAAACGACACAUCGCAUUGGGCAAAUCUACUGCAAAGGACCUACUUAAAGUGUUGAAGAGCAAAGAUGUCACCUUGAAGACUAAGGUGCUCCUGACUGAAGCUAUGAUAUUUUCAAUCACAUCAUAUGCAAGUGAAAGCUGGACAAUGGAUAAGGAAGAUUGAAGAAGAAUUGAUGCCUUUUAAUUGUAGUAUUGGUGAAGAUUAUUGAAUAUACCAUGGACUUCCAAAAGAAUGAACGAAUCUGUCUUGGAAGAAGUACAACCAGAAUGCUCCUUAGAGGCAAGGAUGGCGAGAUUGUGUCUUACACACUUUGGAAUGUUGUCAGGAGGGAUCAGUCCCUGGAGAAGGACAUCAAGCUUGGUAAAGUACAGGGUCAGCGGAAAAGAGGAAGACCCUGAAGGAGAUGGAUUGACACAGUGGUUGCAACAAUGGGCUCAAGCAUAACAACGAUUGUAAGGAUGAUACAGGACCUGGCAGUGUUUUUUUCUGUGGUACAUAGGGUCGCUGUGAGUCGGAACCGACUCGACGGCACCUGACAACAACAUAUUUUUAGCAACAAUACUAAAAUAAUUAGCAUUGUUAUUGUUAGUAGCUAAUUUAGUAAUCUACUAAGUAUCAGAUAGUAUGUGCUAGGUACUGUGAUGAGCAAAUCAGAGAGUAUUAAUUACAAAACAUUGUAAGUUCCAUGAAAUAAGAGUUCUAGGUGCUAUGGGAAUGCACAGUGGGGAACUGAUCUAGUCUAGUGAUAAAGGAAAUCAAGGGAUAUUUGAGUUGAGGUCUGUAGGAUUAGGUAGGUAUUAACUAAUCAAAGGAGAGGGGUAGUAGUUGCAAGGAGGAACAUUCCAGGCAGAGGGAAUUGGAUGUGGCAGGCCCUGAGGUAGCAGGGAGCAUGGGCACAUCGAAGAAACUGUGACUGGAGCAUGGAGAUGAAAAAGGAGAGUGUGGCUAGUGGGGGUGGAGAAAUAAGCAGGGGAAAACUCUUAUAGGGCUUUUUUAGGCCAUGUUAAGAAUUUCUGUCUUAGGAAAAGGGCAAGCUAUUAAGCAGAGAAGUGAUGUGGUAAGACUUUUGAUAAACAACAACAGAAAAAUCACCUUGAAUACAUUUUGGAGGAUGGCUUGGAUGAGAGGCAAGAGUGGAUACUGGUUGACCAUUAGGCCAAGAAUAGGUUAUAGUAGCUUGGGCUAAAGUGUUUGCAUUCAAGAUGGAGAGAUCUAGACUGCCUUAAGACAUAUUUAACGAGUACCAUCAACAGAGCUUAGCAACGAACUGGAGAUUGUGGAUGGGGGAGAAGGAAUUGUUCAGCAGAUUUGUACAACUGGAGAGGUGGGUGAUCCUGAUCACCAAGAUAGGGAACACUGGAUAAGGAUGCAGUUUGAGGUGAAGAUCAUGAGUUCAGAUUCAGAGAGACGUGGUAAAAUAUCCAGGUGAAGAUGUCCAAUAGCAGUUAAAAAGGGGAGUCUCAAGCUCAGAAAGGAGUGUCUAAUCCUAAUUUACAAUAAAUGUAAAAAUAUAGUUUUUUUAGCAUGAAUUUUUAUAUAGAAGAUUAUUUUUCCAGAGAAAGACUGGUAUAAUCAAUACCGUUUAAUCUUAGGAAUUAAUUCUGAAGUUUUCCUAGCAAUAAAAUAUUUGAUAGUAUAUGUUGAUACCAACUUUUCUUUCUCUCGAAAUUUGUUUCAUUGUUCUGAAAACACUGUUCAUAUUUCUUCAUACUGUUAAUGCCUUUUGUUUUGAAAAUUGUAGGAUCAACAACAUUUUCUAUCUAAGGACCAACCAAAAAAUCUGUUGCCAUUGAGUUGGCUCUGAUUCAUGUCAAUGCCAUGUGUAAACAGUGUAGAACUGCUCCAUAGGGUUUUCUUGGCUGUAGUCUUCAUGAAAAUAAAUCUCCAGGCCUUUCUUCCAUGGUGCCACUGGGUGGGUUCCAACAGCCAACCUUUAAGUUAGUAGUUUAAUGCAAACUGCGCCACCCAGGGACCUUUAUAUAAUGACCAGUUGGAAAGAAAUUAAGUACCAAUAUUGCAGCAUUAUUAUUAAGUGAAGUCUGUAAUUUACAUUUGGGUUCACUCUUUGUAUUGCACAGUUCCAUGGGUUUUGACAAAUGUGUAAUAUCAUCUGUCCACCAUUACAGUGUCAUGCAGAAUAGUUUCGAUGCCCUUAAGAUGCCCCGUGCUUCAACUAUUCAUCCCCUUCCCCCUUCCCAGACCCCUGACAACCACUGAUCUUUCUGCUGUCUCUAGUUUUGCCUUCUCCAGAAUGUCACAUAGUUGGAAUCAUAUAGUAUGUUGCUUUUUCAGAUUGACUUUUUCACCUAGCAAUGUGUAUCCUCCAUUUCUCCUUGUGCUUUGAUAGCUCAUUUCUUUUUUAUUGGUGAAUAAUACUCCUUUGUACAGACGCACAACAGUCUAUUUCAAACUUACACUGUGAAGAAGCUAUUGAAAAAAAUUUUGGAGAAUUGAAUAACAACACCCAGAAACAAUGGUAGGAGAAGGCAUUUGGCACACAUAUUCCUGAAAAUUUCUCCCUAUUCUAAAUGAAUAAAGUGAACAAAAUAAUAUUAUCAGACAGUCAUUUAAAAAUAAUGUCCUUUUUGAAUGAGUAAUGCUUUUCUCAUGGUUGCCCUUUUCUACAUACAGGUCUGUGUUGAUUUAUUCAGUUCAUCAGAUAGCCAUUCCACAAAUAUUAUUGUGUAGUCUAUUAUGUGCCAGACACUCUUCUAGGAACUUAAGAUAGUUCAAUGGUAAAAUAGUAAAAUAUUCCCACCCUUAUGGUGCUUACAUUCUAGCAGGAACAGCAAUUUCUUCUGUAAGUUAACCACAUUACAGAAACAACACUUAAGAGACUAUUUCUUAUUGAACGUGCUAUGUGUUUUACAACAUGUCAUCAAGCAUACAAAGUCUCGAUUAUAAGAAAGCAAUAUCCGUAUUGUAUAAAGAUAUUUCAAAUAGUUUUUGUCAUAUGAGUGAGCCAAUGAUAAAAUAAUUUCAUCAACAAUCAUAAACUGAUUGCAGUGUGAUUGUCUGUCUCAGAGAAACCUUGGCAGAGUUAAAGUUUCAAAAAGCGAAACUUGGUACCAAAAUUAAGGCAAAGUUCUUUUUUUUUUUUUUUGAGUAUUUUCUCUUUUUUAUAAUUUGUUUUUGUCUUUGAAAAUGUAUAUAGCAGAAUGUAUACAAAUUCAACAAUUUCUACAUGUACAGUUCAGCAACAGGCAAUGUCAUGUUUUUACUUUUGCUAUUCCCAUAUUAAAUGAGUACUCAAAAUUUAGUGGCGAAAUAAGAUAUCGUUAUAAACUAAGGCAUAGAUGAAAUGAAAGUUCUUAAGUUUUAAGUUUGGUCAGAAGACAAAAUCCAGUAGCUUUACAAGUCAGUCAGUUUUAGGAUUUUGAUGUUGACGCACUGGUCUCAAAUUGUGGUAGAUGUGGUUUUCGAACUAGGCAGAGCUGAAAUAAAAGUUUUAAAAAAUAUUAAAAUCAAGAGUUUAAAAAAAAGUGAUCAAAAUGAAGGCAAUUUUAGGAUUUUUAAUUUGGCAGCUCAGUCUCAAUUUAGUACUUGAAAUUUAACACUGAACAAUGGCACUAAUUUUGAUGUAAAGUUUGUGAAAUAUUUUCUUUAAUUAAUGGACCUUAUUUUUGUAGAGAAGUUUUAAAUUUACAGAAAAAUUGAGCAGAAAGUACAGAGUUUCCAUAUGCUCCUGUACCUCACACACCUUCUUUUAUUAACUUCUUUCAUUGGUGUGGUUCAUUUGCUAUAACUGAUGAACCAAUAUUGAUACAUUAUUAUUAUUAAAUAAAGCCUGUAGUUUACAUUUGGUUCACUUUUUGUGUUGCACAGCUCUGUGGGUUUUGACAAAUGCAUAAUAUCAUGUAUCCACCAGUACAGUGUCAUGAAGAAUAGUUUUUGGGCCCGUAAAAUGCCCUGUGCUUCGCCUAUUCAUCCCCUUCCCCCUUCCCAGACCCCUGACAACCACUGAUCUUUUUGCUUUCUCUAGUUUUGCCUUUUCCAGAAUGUCAUACAGCUGGAAUCAUAUAGUAUGUAGCUUUUUCUGAUUGGCUCUUUUCACUUAGUAGUAUGUAUCCUCCAUUUCUCUUCACGGCUUGAUAGCUCAUUUCUUUUUUCUUGGUGAAUAAUAUACUCCAUUGUGUGGAUGCACAAGAGUUUAUUUAUCCAUUCACCUGUUGAAUGAGAUCUUGGUUGCUUCCAAAUUUUGGUAGUUAUAAAUAAAACUGCUAUAAACAUUCUCGUGCAAGUUUUUGUGUGGAUAUAAGUUUUCAGCUUAUCAUUGCUGCAUCAUAUGAUAAGACUAUGUUUAGUUUUGUAAGAAGCUACCAGACUGUGUACCAAAGUGGCUGUACAUUUUGCAUUCCCACCAGCAAUGAGUGAGAGAUCCUAUUGCUCCACGUUUAUCAGCAGCAUUUAGCAUUAUCAGUGUUUAGGAUUUCAUCCGUUUUAAUAGGUGUAUAGUGGUAUCUCAUUGUGUUUUAAUUUGCAGUUCCCUCAUAGCAUGUGAUGUUGAGCAUCUUUUCAUCUGCUUAUUUGCCAUCUGUAUAUCUUCUUUGCUGAAGUGUCUGUUCAGAUCGAUUGUCCACUUUUUAAUUGGGUUUGUAAUACAUUUAUGUUCACAAGCCUGUGCCAUGAUAACUUGAAUCCUUUAAGAUUAUCCAACUUCUUUCCUUGUCAUAAUGCAAAUAAAUUAGUAUAAUAUGUAACAAAUAUAAUAACAAUAUCACCAUUUAUCUAUAAUUCUCUUUUAGUAUGCUUCCUUAUGAUGCAGGCCUACCUCAUUUUUCGCGCCUUACUUUAUUGCGCUAUGCAGAUACUGCAUUUUUUACAAAUUGAAGGUUUGUGGCAACUCUGUGUCGAGGAAAUCUGUUGGUGCCAUUUUUCCAACAGCGUGUGCUCACUUUGUGUCUUUGUGUAGUUCUCACAAUAUUUUAAACUUUUUCAUUAUUAUUAUACCUGUUUGUGGUGAACUGCGAUCAGUGAUCUUUGAUGUUACUCUUAUAAUUGUUUUGGGGCACCACAAACCGUGCCCAUGUAAGGUGGCAAACUUAAUCAAUAAAUGUUGUGUGUAUUCUGA